GACAAACGCUGGCGGUAUGCCUAACACAUGCAAGUCGAACGGACAGAACAGGGAAGCUUUUCGGAGUGGAACUGGAAAGUUAGUGGCGGAUGGGUGAGUAACGCGUGGACAACCUACCUUGUAAAGGGGAAUAACCUCGAGAAAUCGAAGCUAAUACCCCAUAAUAACCUUGCUUCGCAUGAAGUAAGGAGGAAAGGCGGCCUUAGCGCUGUCGAUACAAGAUGGGUCCGCGUCUGAUUAGCUAGUUGGUGAGGUAAAGGCUCACCAAGGCGACGAUCAGUAGCCGGCCUGAGAGGGUGAACGGCCACAUUGGGACUGAGACACGGCCCAAACUCCUACGGGAGGCAGCAGUGGGGAAUCUUCCGAGAUGGGCGAAAGCCUGACGGAGCAAUGCCGCGUGAGUGAAGAAGGCCUUCGGGUUGUAAAACUCUGUCCUUAUCGAAGAGAGAGUGUUGUAGUAACUGACAAUACUAGGACGGUAGAUGAGGAGGAAGCCCCGGCUAACUAUG
rnacentral:rRNA from 1 species